rnacentral:misc_RNA from 1 species
ACUUAGCUGUGGUGGUACGUAUGCGACCUUAGUUCAUACUGCAUACAUUUCACCGUAAAUACCAUUCAUUUACUAACUUUCUUUGUGACUACUAACUUAUCAGGUCGCAUACGGUAUGACCAAACGUGUGGAAGAAGGGCAAAAAUGGCACUGCAAUGACAUUCCACAUGGUUACGUACCUGUUGAGGUGGAGCAAGUCGUCACCAGCUGGGAAGACUUGGAACUUGACAUCCCCGGAGGUGACGGAGAAACAAAACUCGGUCAGUG